rfam:Felis catus breed Abyssinian Contig193356.1, whole genome shotgun sequence. [26-MAY-2016]
GCCUGGGUGGCUCAGUCGGUUAAGCGUCCGACUUCAGCUCAGGUCAUGACCUCAUGGCUUGCGGGUUCGAGCCCCGCUUUGGGCU